GGCCUUUAAUGGGAAAAUGUGCAGGUCUAAGCCUCGCACUAAUCUCCAUUUCAAUCGGAAGGUGCAUAGGAUUUUAUUUGGUCCAUUGAAUCCGGUGGAGUCUUGUCAGCACAACGAUAUCCGGUGUUGUCAAUCCAAUAAAGAAGAGCAAAAAGCAGACUUUUGACAAAUGGCCAAAAUACAUGAAAGGCAAGCCGAAGCCGGAAGGUGGCCCCGUAUUGAGUUGAGCUAAGUUGAUGCACGGGAAAAAUCUGCAAGUAUAUCAUUACAAGUUUUGUUUUUAUAAUGGUUGAGGCUAAAACAUGAACCAGCAAUUGAAUAUACUUUAAUAUCAUUACAAAACCCCUUUUUAUUAGUCAGUUCCUCCAGAUUAUAAAAUCUAAAUAAAAU